rnacentral:rRNA from 1 species
GUCUUUAAGAAAUUAAUUUAAAGUCCAAUCUGCCCACUGAAAUUAAUUUAAAUGGCUGCAGAAUCUCUGUACAAAGGUAGCAUAAUAAAUUGUUUUUUAAUUAAAAACUAGAAUGAAAGAUUUAAUGAAAUAUAAACUUUUUCAAUUAAAUUUUAUAUUAAAUUUUUUAUUUAAGUAAAAAAACUUAAAUAAACUUUAAAGACGAUAAGACCCUAUAGAAUUUUAUUUAUAAUUUUUUAAUAUAAAAAAUUAUAAAUUUUAUUGGGGUAAUAAAAAAAUUUAUUUAAUUUUUUUUUAAAAAUACAUUUUUAAUGAUUUUUUUAUCUUAAUUUUUAAAUUAAAAAAAUUAAUUACCUUAGGGAUAACAGCAUAAUUUUUUUUAAAAGAUCUUAUUAAUAAAAAAGAUUAU